rnacentral:rRNA from 1 species
GCGAAGCGGUUUCAAUGAAGUUUUCGGAUGGAUUUGAAAUUGACUUAGCGGCGGACGGGUGAGUAACGCGUGGGUAACCUGCCUUACACUGGGGGAUAACAGUUAGAAAUGACUGCUAAUACCGCAUAAGCGCACAGGGCCGCAUGGUCUGGUGUGAAAAACUCCGGUGGUGUAAGAUGGACCCGCGUCUGAUUAGGUAGUUGGUGGGGUAACGGCCCACCAAGCCGACGAUCAGUAGCCGACCUGAGAGGGUGACCGGCCACAUUGGGACUGAGACACGGCCCAAACUCCUACGGGAGGCAGCAGUGGGGAAUAUUGGACAAUGGGCGAAAACCUGAUCCAGCGACGCCGCGUGAGUGAAGAAGUAUUUCGGUAUGUAAAGCUCUAUCAGCAGGGAAGAAAAUGACGGUACCUGACUAAGAAGCCCCGGCUAACUACGUGCCAGCAGCCGCGGUAAUACGUAGGGGGCAAGCGUUAUCCGGAUUUACUGGGUGUAAAGGGAGCGUAGACGGUUAAGCAAGUCUGAAGUGAAAGCCCGGGGCUCAACCCCGGUACUGCUUUGGUAACUGUUUGACUUGAGUGCAGGAGAGGUAAGUGGAAUUCCUAGUGUAGCGGUGAAAUGCGUAGAUAUUAGGAGGAACACCAGUGGCGAAGGCGGCUUACUGGACUGUAACU